CUGUGGAGCCCUGAGCUGUCCCUGUGCUGGAGCAGCUCCUGGAGCGUGUCCCGGUGUCCCCAGGGCUGUGCUGACGGUGCUUUGUGUGUGGCUGUUGUUGUUCCCAUGCAGUGCUGAAGACGGUGCCCUUCACCGCCCGGAGCGCCAAGCGCGGCUCUCGGUUCUUCUGCGACCCCGUUGUCCCCGAGGAAUUCCAUUACUAAACUCUCCCUCUUUCCCACCUGCCGCUCUUAGAAGCCAGGAAGCCCUAAAGAAGAAUAAUAUCACUAAAUUUCCCAAUGUUCACUCGAGGAUCUGCGGAACCAGCCGUACCGCCGGGCCGACGCGCUGAGGAGGAGCGUUCGCCGCCGCUUCGACGAGCACGGGCUGCGCUCCAACGGCGCCGAGCUGGCCCUGUGAGCCCGCGGGAGCGGGACGGGCUCGGCAUCCCGGCUGCCUU